ensembl:lncRNA LANCL1-AS1 LANCL1 antisense RNA 1
AUUUAUGAAAAAAUAAGAAGUGAAAGUAUUCUCUGACUGCAAGUAUGACCACCUGUCUUUCUAUAUCAGAACCCAAGCUAAAAGACUGCAUUUACUACCCUUCCUUGCUAACAAGAGUGACUACGUGACUAUGUUCUGGCCAAUGCAAACAGCCUGAAAAGCUGAUGUAAUGACUGGAUCUUCAGCAGCCACCUUGAGCAAGAGGUAGAAGCUAGAGGCUGAGGAAUGAUGGAGCAGAAAGGAAGGAGCUGGGGUUCCUAUUAACAUCCUGAAGCUACACUAUCAGGCCUGGACUGACCAACUCUUUCUGGCCUUCUUUUACAAGAGAAAAAUACAGUUAUUUAAACCACUAUACUUCUGUUUUCUUUUUUGGGGUAUAGAUAACUGAACCUAAUCCUGUCCCAAAUCCUGAUCCUAUCUAACCAGUGUUAGCUAUCAGCCCAUACGUAUACUGGAGAAUGACGUUUAACAAAAUAAGAUGUUAAAGUUCUAACUAAUUGUAAUAAUCAUGCAGUUUUCUCAUGCUGAACAAAGUUAAAGAAAUAUAAUGUGUGUUUCCUAAAGAGUGUCAUUUUUUGGAAAGAUAACAUGGGGCACAAAGUAACAUAAAAAUCUACAUAUAAUUAUGUAAACAUUGCUUUGACAUACAACACCAAAUAUUUUUAUUGUAUUUGUGAAUGCAUUUCUUGGUAAUAAAACGGCAGUUAUGAAUAA